CACGUACUGUGCGAACGUUAUUCGGCAUCACUGGGCUUAAAGGGUGCGUAGGCGGCGAUUCAAGUCAGAUGUGAACUGCCUGAGCUCAACUGAGGCAUUGCGUUUGAAACUGAAUUGCUAGAGUAUCCUAGGGGUGUGCGGAACUGCCAGUGGAACGGUGAAAUGUGUUGAGAUUGGCAGGAACGCCGGAGGCGAAAGCGGCACACGGGGGGAUAACUGACGCUGAGGCACGAAAGCCAAGGGAGCGAACGGG
rnacentral:rRNA from 1 species